GACGAACGCUGGCGGCGUGCUUAACACAUGCAAGUCGAACGGAAAGGCCCUGCUUGCAGGGUACUCGAGUGGCGAACGGGUGAGUAACACGUGGGUGAUCUGCCCUGCACUUCGGGAUAAGCUUGGGAAACUGGGUCUAAUACCGGAUAGGAGCCAUCUUUAGUGUGAUGGUUGGAAAGUUUUUUCGGUGUAGGAUGAGCUCGCGGCCUAUCAGCUUGUUGGUGGGGUAAUGGCCUACCAAGGCGGCGACGGGUAGCCGGCCUGAGAGGGUGGACGGCCACAGUGGGACUGAGAUACGGCCCAGACUCCUACGGGAGGCAGCAGUGGGGAAUAUUGCACAAUGGGCGCAAGCCUGAUGCAGCGACGCCGCGUGGGGGAUGACGGCCUUCGGGUUGUAAACUCCUUUCGCUAGGGACGAAGCUUUUUGUGACGGUACCUAGAUAAGAAGCACCGGCUAACUACGUG
rnacentral:rRNA from 1 species